rnacentral:lncRNA from 1 species
UGGAGGGAUUCCUAAACCCUAGACUGAUAGGCACAGCUCUUUCGGCGAGGGAGUUCCUUUGACCGUACACCUGUUGCAGGGACGUCUUAUAGCAACUUGCAAUGUACGGUAUUUCAGUCCUUUCGGAAAAUUCGGUUUCUUGAACCGCUUCUUUGCCGUGAAGAGUUUUUGCUUAGGUGGGAAGUCCGUGAGUCACGAAAGAGUUGCCAUAUAGCGCGGCCACUUUGUCCUCUGCGCGUGACUGUUGUCAAAAUUCGAGCAGAUAUUCGGAAGAUCUUUCUGUGAGUAGUUGCUGAAAGGGCUGCUUCACCCAUUGGCUUGACCGGUUCGACAAGCAUGUACCCUAUACUGCUGGCCAGAUGAACAUCCCGCUGCUCUGCAGGAGCAGCACCGGCGUAACAAGAAAAAUUCACGGUAGACAGUUGUAUGAUGAAUGGCUGCAUAAAAGAUACCUCAUUGUGCACAAGCUUUCAGCACCGAAAUGUAUCAUUUUCCUGUGGAAGAACUGCCACACCGUGUAACACCGCGCUGGCAUUUUCGUCUCUCAGCACAGUGUCGAUCAUCAGACGUCACUUGCAGUGCCCCACAUACGUGUCACACAUGACAAAAUGCAAAUGAGCCGCACAUGGGGAACAAGUAACCCUCGACAUUUGACCUCUUUGUUUGCUGUACAGCCCUGUCACGCAGCGCCAC